GACGAACGCUGGCGGCGUGCUUAACACAUGCAAGUCGAACGGAAAGGCCCUGCUUUUGUGGGGUGCUCGAGUGGCGAACGGGUGAGUAACACGUGAGUAACCUGUCCUUGACUUUGGGAUAACUUCAGGAAACUGGGGCUAAUACCGGAUAGGAGCUCUUGCUGCAUGGUGGGGGUUGGAAAGUUUCGGCGGUUGGGGAUGGACUCGCGGCUUAUCAGCUUGUUGGUGGGGUAGUGGCUUACCAAGGCUUUGACGGGUAGCCGGCCUGAGAGGGGGACCGGCCACAAUGGGACUGAGGUACGGCCCAGACUCGAACGGGAGGCAACGGGGGAGAGUAUUACACAGUAGGCGGGAGCCUGAUGCGACAACGCCGCGUGCGGGAAGACGGGCUUCGGGUUGUGAACCGCUGUCGCCUGUGACGAAGCGUGAGUGACGGUAAUGGGUAAAGAAGCACCGGCUAACUACGUG
rnacentral:rRNA from 1 species